rnacentral:lncRNA from 1 species
CGCCUUGGCUUUGAUACCAAUUGUUGGAAUAUCACCUGCUCUAAUACUAAUUAUUGUGCAGGACCCGGUAUCACGUGUUGUAACAGAAAGAAAGAAGAAACAAAAUAAGGAAUACACAAUCAAGUAUAUGAAACAGUCCAAGUACCAUCUCCACGGGGCACGUAAACUUCACCAAGAGAAAGAAACAAUACAAGAGAAAAAUAUCCACUCUCAACUCUUUGUAUACAUAUCUCUCUCAACUAGAAACUAUUUUCACAAAAACUCUCUCAAAAUCCCCCAAGGAGACCCUUUCACAAGCCGGCC